AUGCACUUUUUAUUCACAAUCAAUAUAUUCCUAGUUUUUUCUUUGGCUCUUUUCAGAAUAUCAGCACAGUUAGAUUGCACGGCAAUUCCAGAUGGCUUGCAGGUUGCUGGAAACGCAAUUAAUAUUCCUGAUAAUUCAGUAGUUCCUGUAGCAUUAUCUGCAAACUUCAAUUGCAGUUAUACGAUAAAACCUCCCAAAAACACAUUUGCAAAAAUUACGUUGCUGAACCAAUUGGUGGGGGUUAAUGAUGUUAUAAUUGUUACUGAUGGACUGCAGCUGACAACAAAGAUUAAUCGAAACUAUCCAAAUAAUGUUAUAUUCUACGUUUUCCCGCAAACUUCAACGACUGUUGACGUUCAGAACAUUGAUGCAGCUUCGAAAUUUCAAAUGACAAUUACUUAUACAUCAUUACCUCCAUCUACACAAAGAGCGCUUCAAACAGGACAAAAUGUUAACUAUUUCAGUCUGAGUACAGUGCAAAGAAAGCCAAUUUCUUUUUCAUCUGAUGGAUCGAUAUCUCUAACACUUGCUAGAUCCGGAUACGUAUAUGAUAAAUUCGAUAAUUAUUAUAUUAUUGAUGGAGACAUGGACAACCCCAAGUCCAUCCAAAGGCUAGACAAUUAUCAAUCCAAAAAUUUCAAUUCAUCUGGAAAUAUUAUAAGUAUUGUGGGAUUAGAUGAUUUGGCAACUCACACAACUUUUAUAUUAACUCCAAGCACCGAUCUCAUUGGAUAUACAAAAUUUUCUGGAACUACAGUCAAUGCAGUUUCUCCAAAUGUUUAUGUGAAUGCAGCAAAUGAAGAGAAAGUUCGAGUUGUGGUUGUUGCAAAAGACGCCAACCAACUUGUACUGAAGAAAAUGGGAACAUUAGAGGUUUAAUAUUUUCUGUAAUCUGAUUAAAUUUCAAAAAAGAAAAAACAUGAUAGUGCAGUUGAUACUACAAGAAAUGUAAAACUAACAUUGAAACGAUCCUACGUAGGGCUCGACGGUAAAUCUUUUUGGCAAAAGUACGAAACUGUGGAUUUCAAUAUGAUAAUUGCCGAAGUUGCCGAACCGUGAAAAUUUCGGCAAUUUUUCGCCAACCGGCAACCAGGUUUCAAAGUGUUUUUUGUUGAAAUUAUAUCUCUGAGUAUUUUGAAUAAAAGUAUGGUCGUUUUUUUUCCAUUACAGUGAAAUGCUAGCAUUUUUCAGGCUCUCUGAAUGCUUUUUUCUGAGCUGCAAAAUUUUUCACAUUGCUGUCGGCAGUUGCCGAAGUUGCCGAAAAAAAAGUUCGGCAACUGCCGAAGUUGCCGGUUGGCGCACUGCUUUGGUGCCUACGUCAAAUAAAAUAAACCAAAUAAACCACUAAUCAAAAACUCUUUGGCACUUGCCGGUUGCAAAAACUCUAAAACUUCAAGUUUUAAUCAUACAUACAAAUUUCAGAAUGAAAACUGUAAAGCUUAUGCUGAUACUGGAACUCCAAGUUCUCCAUCGAAUACCUUAAUUGAUUUCAAAUCAGAUGCAUAUUCACUUCCUCAGCUCUUUCCUUAUCCGUAUUUCUCUAUAAUUGUCGAGAACUGUGAUGUCAAUUUCAACUUUAGUACAACUUUACCAUCAAACUAUUAUACCAUAGAUAGUGAAAGAAAUGGUUUUAUUUUUUCGCCUACAUUCUUCAAUAGUGAGGCAGAUAAUGGAUAUAUUAAUAUCACUUUUGCGUACACUGGUGAUGAGAAAGUGCAAUUCGCUGUCGACGUGGAUAGAGUGACAAUGGGAAAUUCAAACUCCCAGUUGGAUAUAAACAUUUAUGAUAGCAAAUGGAAUCCAACUUUGAGUACUGUAAUAAGUGGUAACCAAGAAGGAACUCGUUCACGAGCAAAUGGAGUAUAUUUGAAUGUUCGAAUGACAAGUGCUACAUCUACAAAACUUUAUUGGAGUCUAACUUCCUUUUCUGUGUCUAUUUUCAAUCUUCAAUUCAUAAUUAUUCUUGCUGUUUGUACUAUGAUGAUCUCAAACUGA